UCAAAUGUUAUUUUUUGGGAGAGUAUGGACUGACAGGUUUCCGGUAUACAGUGUGACUUCAUGUCCUCAAAAUGACAUCGAAUGGCGAAAAUCAUCCGAGAGAUUAAAUUGUUCUCUGCAUUACAACAAAAAGCUUUACCGAUAUCACUGUUUGCCAGACUCUAAACUAACAACCUUGGUGGAAUUUUGUUACGAUCAUAUUCGACCUUUGGUGCCGAAAGGAAACUGUGUCGUUUUAAAUACUCACAGUACUCUGUUGGACACUUAUAAUUGUUCGAAAUUUAAAGAUGGGUGUCCAGAUGUGCAUUUUGACAGCGAUGCUAUUUUAAAAUAUCCGAGUUGUUUAUUGAUCGAGACAAAAAAGCAGUGCUACUUGGCAGAAAACACGUGUAUAACUGUGCCUGGAUCAAACCUUACAACCCAAUCGAUUUUAAGCGGACCAUCAACUGCAAGG